rnacentral:rRNA from 1 species
AGAAUCAACGCUGGCGGCGUGCCUAACACAUGCAAGUCGAACGAGAAAGUGGAGCAAUCCAUGAGUAAAGUGGCGCACGGGUGAGUAACACGUGACUAACCUACCCUUGAGUGGGGGAUAACCUAGGGAAACCUGGGCUAAUACCGCAUAAUACCUUCGGGUCAAAGGAGCAAUUCGCUUAAGGAGGGGGUCGCGGCCGAUUAGUUAGUUGGCGGGGUAAUGGCCCACCAAGACUGUGAUCGGUAUCCGGCCUGAGAGGGCGCACGGACACACUGGAACUGAAACACGGUCCAGACUCCUACGGGAGGCAGCAGUGGGGAAUUUUGCGCAAUGGGGGAAACCCUGACGCAGCAAAGCCGCGUGGAGGAUGAAGCCCCUUGGGGCGUAAACUCCUUUCGAUCGGGAAGAUAAUGACGGUACCGAGAGAAGAAGCCCCGGCUAACUUCGUGCCAGCAGCCGCGA